rnacentral:rRNA from 1 species
AUACGGAGGGUGCAAGCGUUAAUCGGAAUUACUGGGCGUAAAGCGCGCGUAGGCGGUUUAGUAAGUCGGAUGUGAAAGCCCUGGGCUCAACCUGGGAAUUGCAUUCGAUACUGCUUGACUAGAGUAUGGUAGAGGGAAGUGGAAUUUCCGGUGUGGCGGUGAAAUGCGUAGAUAUCGGAAGGAACACCAGUGGCGAAGGCGACUUCCUGGGCCAAUACUGACGCUGAGGUGCGAAAGCGUGGGGAGCAAACAGGAUUAGAUACCCCAGUAGUCC